CACAGACCCCGACUCAGGUUCAUGAAGCAUUCAGCACAUUAGGGCUUAUGCUAUUCACAGAGCCCCCUCUUUCUUCCUGCCCAACCAGUCCCUAAUCAGCAAGUCACUUCAUCUUCUGUUCCUCCAUUUAGGCUACAGUGACUGCAUUUGUUAGUCCUGUCAACACCUGUGAGACCUGCUGUGUGGGUGGUGGCAAAGAGGAGCAGGAGGAAUGAGAUGGAGAGUGAAGGAAGCUGCUGACAGACAACCAGAGAUGGACUAAUGCAUGAUUUGCUAAUGGAAAGCUUUUGGACAAAGGCUUCAACACAAUAAUGCUCAUGCAGUGUCAAAACCGUAGAAACCUGAACCAGCUGGCACAAAUCCAACCAGAGCAUGAUUUUCCUUUGAGCAAGGCAUUGCUGUUUGCAUUGCUGAAGGCCAUUCACCAAAAGUACAAGGAAUUCAUGUCGGGAAGCCUUGAUCAACAUUUUCCAGCUAUAUGAAUUGCAAGUUAUUUUUGUUCCGGAACAGAAAGAAAACAACACUGAAAGGAAUGCAAUUCACAUGUGCUUAUUGAACAUGACAAUGGAACAGAAGAAAAUGAUACAGACAAAAGCCUCCAUUUCUUCCCCAGAUCUGUUGACCAGUGAAAAGCACCCACCUGCUGAGAUGGCAAUUGGUGCAAUUUUCUCUAGUUCAUGGUGACUUCAGAGUAUUGGUUGA
rnacentral:lncRNA from 1 species